GCCUCGGCUCCUUUUCGAUGGGUGAGUCUUGACUCAUAGGAGAAUCGAGAGGUGAACCCGAUGUCAUUGAAUCACGGAGUGGCGUCUCGUUUAACACAACGGCGGGACCCGUCGGAAUAAUUAUGAAGCGUUUGCAAUAUUUCACCACCUCCCAACAUUCGUGAUGGUUGAAACUUUUUUGCCACCCCCAAUUGCACCGAACCACAUUUGUGCUUGAAUCAUCUAUUUAACAAAAAAAUGGAAAUGCAAUAAAUAUUUAAAAUAUUAACAACAUAUUGAAAAUG
rnacentral:lncRNA from 1 species